ACUCACUUCCACAUUUACAUAUCCAGAUGGGAAAAUUGUGUUACCUAGCCCCCGAUGGUUAGCUGUGAUCAGGUGUUUGCCUGCUCCUCCUGUGACACUGGAUAAGUUCUGUUUCACCAUACCUGUUUAGUCUGUCAUGAUUUUCAGCAGCAGUCAACAUUACACAGAGAAGAUGAGAAAGAGGCAAGUCAAGGAGAAACGGGAAAAACUGGAUACUCCUAAAAUAGAAAUUCUGAAUUGCUGUGAUUCACCCCGUGAUUCAAAAAACCUGAAUGACAGGAUGACCGAAAGAUCUUGGCAUCUCAAGGCAGGAUUUCGCCUGAGGGAAAGGACUACAGUAUAUCCUAAACUUGAAACAAACAAUAUUUUAUCUUAUAAAUGUAUCAAGAAGGAUGUAUUUCAUCUUCACAAGUCAAUCACAGGACACAAAGUUCUUUAUUAAAGUUGGUACAUCAUCUCUGUGCUUCUGCUGUAUUUCACAGGUUCUUUCUCUGCUCCUGUGAGAGUCACAGUUGAGGGUUUUGUUGGAGACUCAGCUGUCUUCUCUUGCUCUAUUCCUGAAAGUGAGAUUCAAGACAAAAUAGAAGAAUUCAGUGCACACUUGAGAGACGAUGAAGAGAAGAGCGUUUGUGACAUCACUGGGGCCAACAGAACAUGUGCAGAUCAAGCUUCAGAGUACAAGAACAGAGUUGAAACUUUCCUUGAGGAUCAAAAGAAGGGCAACUUCACUUUCAAACUCAACGCUCUUCAAAAAACUGAUGCAAGGAAGUACCACUGUCACAUCACAGGACCAUCUCAGAAUCACACCAUCACAGAGCUUCUUGUCAAAGAUAAACCAGGGGGAAGAGGGAACCAUCCAGAGCUAACCAGAUCUUUCUUUAUUGGCAUACCACUUUCUAUAUUCGUAGCAUUUGUGGUGUAAUAUUUUAUUAAUUUUUUUUUAUUACACUACAGGACAUUUUGUCAUGGUUCAUGGAUCUAUGUACGCAUUUCUGCGUCUGUGUUUGUGUUGUGCUCCUUGUGCUCAUCAGCGUUGCCUAGUUACCACAGCUGACGAGCUACCCAGAGUGCUCACAGGUGUAGCUCAUUUGCUCUGCCUAUAUCUGACUGGCGUUUCUGUGGAGUGUUGUCAGAUCAUUGUGCUUAUGUCCUGUCCUGUCCUGUCCUGUCCUGUCUUGCUUUGACAUAAACUUUAACGCAUUUACUAGUUGGACUUUUUCAAAACUAAAAUUCCUGACUAAAAUGUGUGAAAUCGAGUGCAACAUUUUGAAAUAUCAUACGUAACUUUUCAAUGCAUCUGUAAGGCGUCAGGAAUGUUUUAUGUUUCAUAAACAUAUUGACAUAGAAGUAGGGCUAAUGUUUAGACGAUAUAAAAGUAAUGUUUAAGAAUGCUUAGACCAGUCUUUACUGUUGAAUACUCUGUCUGCAAAUAUCUAAUCAAAUGUGUAUGUGCUUAAUAGUAAUUUAGUUUCUCAGAUGUGUUUUUUGUACUGUAUAAUAAUAAAUACAAAGCAUGUGUGCAUAUGAUAGCUAUAAAAUCACAUGGGCAAUAUUAGUAAUUGCUAAUGUAACAAUAUUGCUCAAGGCCUAUCAACAGGUUUUUUGUUUUGUUUUAGUUGUUUGUGAUCUGAUACCAGCACAACAGAUGAAUCCUGCCAACUUUUUCUCUGAGAGCGCUGUACCAGAUCUUCAACUACACUGAUUUUCUGUUGGUAACACAAGUUCCUUGACUACUGAUGAUGAGUUUUGCAAGCACUUAAAUAUCAGGUAUGAUAUACUUGUGUUACUUGUUGAACAGAAUUCAGAAAAUAGUUUUCAGGAAUUACACAAUAUCUGUUCACAUCUUUGUGGUUAGA